ACAUGGAGAGUUUGAUCCUGGCUCAGGAUGAACGCUGGCGGUAUGCUUAACACAUGCAAGUCGAACGGCAGCGCGAGGAGCUUGCUCCUUGGCGGCGAGUGGCGGACGGGUGAGUAACGCGUGAGAAUCUACCUUCAGGCCUGGGACAACAGUUGGAAACGACUGCUAAUACCGGAUGUGCCGUAAGGUGAAAGUUUUUUCGCCUGAAGAUGAGCUCGCGUCUGAUUAGUUUGUUGGUGGGGUAAUGGCCUACCAAGACUUCGAUCAGUAGCUGGUCUGAGAGGACGAUCAGCCACACUGGGACUGAGACACGGCCCAGACUCCUACGGGAGGCAGCAGUGGGGAAUUUUCCGCAAUGGGCGAAAGCCUGACGG
rnacentral:rRNA from 1 species